CCCUAUCAUUAUUCUUCGCGUAACAUUUAUAGAAUCAGAAAACGAUUACGGUGAUUUUUGAACUUAAUCGCUAACUUAUAUCACCAUGAAAGUUGAAGGCUCCAAGAGAUGAAAGUGGAUAACUAUACUUCUUGUUGGUUUGCUGUCACUUGUUGUGGGCGCAAUUUCGGGACCAUGUCUUCUUUCUUAAAGCUUUCUACACUGCGAAGAAGCUUCUCACUGCCGUAUUCCACUGAAUCCUUUAGAAUAACCGUCUUGUGGAGACCCACAAGGAGAUCUUCGUAAUCUGUGUCCCCUUUGUCGCCCACAAACACAAACAUUUUGCUGAGAUCCAUUCCCCAUCUAAUUGAUAGGUACCUACAUAAAUUCAUCCAAACGAUCUGUAUUUCACGGUAGUCUAGUACAAUAAAAUUGUUCUCUUGUUAUGUGUAGGGGGAUCAAACCUGCUUCUUUUUACGGGUGAGAUGCCAAAUCCGCCAACACAUAUUCUCGAGCCUGUUGCUUCUUUCAAGAGUGUUCCUCGUUGCUAUAACCUGCACAUCUCCGUUUUAUUUAUCGAAGGUAUAUCUGAUAUUAUGAUUUGAUACUUAAACGAGUUUUGAAGAGGAUAUAUGAAAUUAUCACGAAUACACAAUUUUAUAGUGAACUAGAUUGAGAGGGAUGAAUGAAACCUUGAUCCAGGUUCGGUGGAGGUCGGAUUCAUCAACACUAUUAACAACUUCUUCAACAAAGUAGUUGGUGGGACUGAAGUGUUUAUCGCGCUUGACGUUGUCUUGAAGCUUUUCCAGCUUCAUCUUUGUAUCAACUCCAUUUUGAGUCUUCAAAUUUGCUCCUAAGUCCAAGAUCGCCUCCAAGUACCCGUUUAUCCAUUCGUUCCUUGCCAUCUCAAAACCGCUACCGCUUCCUAGCGGCAGUGGUAGUGGUGGUGGUGGUGAUGGGAGGAGGAGAAGCUUUCUUGGUUUGAAACAGAUAUGUGGGAGGCCUUUGAUGCCUUAUAAAGGCCUUUUGGCAUACAAGACAAUAUUAUGCCUUCUUUUAGUUACUAAAAUUGUUUUGUGAAUACAUAAGAUUCUUUUCACUUUGCACACUUACCUUUUAGCACAGAAACUUAUUUAAAUUGAUUGUAGAAAUAUGUAAAUUAUUUUUAGAACAUAUUUUAGCAUAGGCCGGUUUUUGUGACAAACUCAAGUUAGUUGUGUGAACUGUCAUAUGGUAAUGAAAAUAAGUUAGUUAUGUUAAGUUUUUUUACAGAUUAUAUAAUGAUAUUGU
rnacentral:lncRNA from 1 species